AUGCUGUUCUCCAGCCUGCUGUGGGGAUUCAUGGCCUUCUUCUUCUCUGGAUCCAGCAUGGCUCAGAAAGUUAUUCAAGACGAGCUAGUCACAGAGAAGCAAGAGGGGGCACUGGUCACCUUGAACUGUCGGUAUGAAACAAGUGAGAGCUUCUACUAUAUAUUUUGGUAUAAGCAGCUGACAAGUGGAAAGCUAAUUUUCCUUAUUAGUCAGUAUUCUUCUGACCAGAAUGCGAAGAAUGGCCGCUAUUCUAUAAACUUCCAGAAAGCCACUAAAUCCAUCAGCCUCACCAUUUCAGACUUACGGCUGGAAGAUUCAGCAAAAUAUUUCUGUGCUUUCUUGGAACUCACGGUGUUUAAAGUAAUGGUAAAAGCUGAACAAAAACCUCAGAGCUCAGUCAGAGAGUCCCCCCCCCAUGCCCUCCCCCACCCCUGA